GAUGAACGCUGGCGGCGUGCCUAACACAUGCAAGUCGAGCGAUUCUCUUCGGAGAAGAGCGGCGGACGGGUGAGUAACGCGUGGGUAACCUGCCCUGUACACACGGAUAACAUACCGAAAGGUAUGCUAAUACGGGAUAAUGUGCUUUUAUCGCAUGGUAAAAGUAUCAAAGCUCCGGCGGUACAGGAUGGACCCGCGUCUGAUUAGCUAGUUGGUAAGGUAACGGCUUACCAAGGCGACGAUCAGUAGCCGACCUGAAAGGGUGAUCGGCCACAUUGGAACUGGGACACGGUCCAAACUCGUACGGGAGGCAGCAGUGGGGAAUAUUGCACAAUGGGCGAAAGCCUGAUGCAGCAACGCCGCGUGAGCGAUGAAGGCCUUCGGGUCGUAAAGCUCUGUCCUCAAGGAAGAUAAUGACGGUACUUGAGGAGGAAGCCCCGGCUAACUACGUGCCAGCCGCCGCGGUAAAAC
rnacentral:rRNA from 1 species